rnacentral:RNase_P_RNA from 1 species
GAAGAUGGUGCGAUGAUCGCUUGAGUAAUCAAGAGGAAAGUCCGGGCUCCUCUGGAAAAAAAACCAGGUAACACCUGGCAAGUGUGAGCUUAGGGAAAGUGCAACAGAAAAUAUACCGCCUUUUGAAAAAUUGGUAAGGUUGAAAUGGUGAGGUAAGAGCUUACCGCUUUGUUGGUAACAAUAAAGGCAGUGCAAACCCUUUUUGGAGUAAGGCCAAGUAGGAAUAACAAUCAGUUUCCAGCUGAGUUAUUCGGGUAGGCCGCUUGAGAUAAUUGGCAACAAUUAUCCUAGAUUAAUGAUCAUCAUUUUACUUAGUAAUUUACAGAACCCGGCUUAUGCAUCAUCUGUAAAA